rnacentral:lncRNA from 1 species
UCUGGUGCCAUUCCGAGUCCGGCGGACGAACAUCGCCCACGCCCCCCGCCAAGGCUAUAGCCCACCCGUUUUUUGGCCAUUUUUCCGCUGGGGGGUGUUGGCGCCCCGACCUUCGGGCGCUCGUUUUUGGGUGCGGCUGUGCCCGUGGCCUAUUUUUGGCACACGGAGGCCGCCCGCAAAGUCUGGGGCCAUUCCGAGGCCGGCGGACGAACUUCGCCCGCGCCCCCCGCCAAGGUUAUAGCCCACCCGUUUUUUGGCCAUUUUUCCGCUGGGGGGUGUUGGAACCCGACCUUCGGGAGCUCAUUUUUGGGCGCGGCUCCGCCCGUGGCCUAUUUUUGGCACACGGAGGUCGCCCGCAAAGUCUGGGGCCAUUCCGAGUCCGGCGGACGAACUUCGCCAACGCCCCCCACCAAGGCUAUAGCCCACCCGUUUUUUGGCCAUUUUUCCGCUGGGGGGUGUUGGCACCCCGACCUUCGGGCGCUCAUUUUUGGGCGCGGCUGUGACCGUGUCCUAUUUUUGGCACACGGAGGCCGCCCGCAAAGUCUGGCGCCAUUCCGAGUCCGGCGGACGAACAUCGCCCACGCCCCCCGCCAAGGCUAUAGCCCACCCGUUUUUUGGCCAUUUUUCCGCUGGGGGGUGUUGGCGCCCCGACCUUCGGGCGCUCGUUUUUGGGUGCGGCUGUGCCCGUGGCCUCUUUUUGGCACACGGAGGCCGCCCGCAAAGUCUGGGGCCAUUCCGAGGCCGGCGGACGAACAUCGCCCACGCCCCCCACCAAGGCUAUAGCCCACCCAUUUUUUGGCCAUUUUUCCGCUGGCGAGUGUUGGCGCCCCGACCUUCGGGCGCUCAUUUUUGGGCGCGGCUGUGCCCGUGGCCUAAUUUUGGCACACGGAGGCCGCCCGCAAAGUCUGGGGC